CUACACAUGCAGUCGACGGUGAACAGCGAAGGCAGCUUGCUGCUUUGCUGACGAGUGGCGGACGGGUGAGUAAUGUCUGGGAACUGCCCGAUGGAGGGGGAUAACUACUGGAAACGGUAGCUAAUACCGCAUAACGUCGCAAGACCAAAGAGGGGGACCUUCGGGCCUCUUGCCAUCGGAUGUGCCCAGAUGGGAUUAGCUAGUAGGUGGGGUAACGGCUCACCUAGGCGACGAUCCCUAGCUGGUCUGAGAGGAUGACCAGCCACACUGGAACUGAGACACGGUCCAGACUCCUACGGGAGGCAGCAGUGGGGAAUAUUGCACAAUGGGCGCAAGCCUGAUGCAGCCAUGCCGCGUGUAUGAAGAAGGCCUUCGGGUUGUAAAGUACUUUCAGCGGGGAGGAAGGGAGUAAAGUUAAUACCUUUGCUCAUUGACGUUACCCGCAGAAGAGCACCGGCUAACUCCGUGCCAGCAGCCGCGUAAUACGGAGGGUGCAAGCGUUAAUCGGAUUACUGGGCGUAAGCGCACGCAGGCGGUUGUUAGUCAGAUGUGAAUCCCGGCUCACCUG
rnacentral:rRNA from 1 species